rnacentral:rRNA from 1 species
CUGCCCGUAGCAGGGGGGUAAGCGGAAGAAAUUCCGUCUAAUACCGCGUAACAACCCAUGGAGGCAUCUCCUCGGGUUUAAAGGAAGCGAUUCCGGCUACGGAUGGUCAUGCGUCGCAUUAGCUUGUUGGCGGGGUAACGGCCCACCAAGGCGACGAUGCGUAGGGGUUCUGAGAGGAAGGUCCCCCACACUGGUACUGAGACACGGACCAGACUCCUACGGGAGGCAGCAGUGAGGAAUAUUGGUCAAUGGCCGCAGGGCUGAACCAGCCAAGUCGCGUGAGGGAUGACGGUCCUAUGGAUUGUAAACCUCUUUUGUCAGGGAGCAAAGGGCGCCACGUGUGGCGCUUUGCGAGUACCUGAAGAAAAAGCAUCGGCUAACUCCGUGCCAGCAGCCGCGGUAAUACGGAGGAUGCGAGCGUUAUCCGGAUUUAUUGGGUUUAAAGGGUGCGCAGGCGGAAUGUCAAGUCAGCGGUAAAAUUUCGGGGCUCAACCCCGUCGUGCCGUUGAAACUGGCGUUCUUGAGUGAGCGUGAAGUAUGCGGAAUGCGUGGUGUAGCGGUGAAAUGCAUAGAUAUCACGCAGAACUCCGAUUGCGAAGGCAGCAUACCGGCGCUCAACUGACGCUCAUGCACGAAAGCGUGGGUAUCGAACAGGAUUAGAUACCCUGGUAGUCCACGCAGUAAACGAUGA